UGAUGCCAUAGUCCACUUUGUAAGAAAGCAGAUGUUAGUUUUACAUCCAUCCUUUCAAACAAGAAUUGAGAUAGGAGAGAAGACAGUGACUGCCUUCAAAGACAUUUCCAUGCAGAUUCUCUUAAAGAGGAAAAACUACAGUUUUUUGACAGAUACAUUGAAGCAGAAGAAGAGAAAGAAGGAGUAAAGUACAUGAAGUUAUGAUGAUUCAGAGGGCCCAACAGAGAGAUGUGAUGGGGAAAGCGUCACUGAGACGGAGCUGCACGCAGGAUGUUUUGCCUGGCUUUUGUGAUGAAGUCCUAAAGUUAUUGUACAGUAACACUUCAAGAAAGCAGAACCAUUUACAUUAGGAGUGAUCCUACCUAAGGCUGUAUUUGUGAUCCCCAAAGCCUUCUAGAAGAUGAGAAAUGUUAAGAAAAAUUCUAUGGGCACAUCAAAGAGGACAGAGGAAGAUGGGACUGUGGCUGCCAAAUUAAAAAAAAUUGUUUACACUUUUAAGAAGAUGGAAAUUCAUUCUCAUAGGGAGGGGUUCAUGACUCAACGGCUCUGCAAGGAAAGCAGUUUUUAAUCUAUUUCAGAACAGGAGCAGAUUGGCAUUUGUGACCAUUCUGAUAAGCAGUAGUGAUAACCACAUGGCAAUUAAACUAGAUGAUUAUACCUUCUGUAACGGCAUACUUACAAACCUGCAGGGCUAAUGUGGUAAUGAUCUUUUAAAUUCGAUUUAAGAGGAUAAUAAUGAACUUUGGCACAUUUUAUGGACUCAUAAAAUUGACAGAAUAAUUUAAAAAUGGCCAUUGGCUUCCGUAGAUAUUUAGUCUGUUCUAUGUGAUUAGCCCAAGGGUAAAAAAAAAACAGCCUAAUGGAAAUGUUCACAUAGGAUUGUGACAUAAUUUUCAUGGGCCAAGUGGAGUUGCCAAAUGCCUUAUUGAGAGUGUAUCCCUGCACCAAGGCCAAUCUAUGAAUAAGAUAAUGUCCUAUGCUGGAACUGGUUAUAGUUUUAAGCCUCUCUAAGACUUUGCUCUGUACUGACCUGUGUAAGAUAAGCUUUAAAUUAUGAUAAAUGAUAUGACUGAUA
rnacentral:lncRNA from 11 species